rnacentral:rRNA from 1 species
AGAGUUUGAUCAUGGCUCAGAUUGAACGCUGGCGGCAUGCCUUACACAUGCAAGUCGAACGGCAGCACGGGAGCUUGCUCCUGGUGGCGAGUGGCGAACGGGUGAGUAAUAUAUCGGAACGUACCCUAGAGUGGGGGAUAACGCAGCGAAAGUUGCGCUAAUACCGCAUACGAUCUACGGAUGAAAGUGGGGGAUCGCAAGACCUCAUGCUCAUGGAGCGGCCGAUAUCUGAUUAGCUAGUUGGUGGGGUAAAGGCCUACCAAGGCAUCGAUCAGUAGCUGGUCUGAGAGGACGACCAGCCACACUGGAACUGAGACACGGUCCAGACUCCUACGGGAGGCAGCAGUGGGGAAUUUUGGACAAUGGGGGCAACCCUGAUCCAGCAAUGCCGCGUGAGUGAAGAAGGCCUUCGGGUUGUAAAGCUCUUUUGUCAGGGAAGAAACGGUGAGGGCUAAUAUCCUUUGCUAAUGACGGUACCUGAAGAAUAAGCACCGGCUAACUACGUGCCAGCAGCCGCGGUAAUACGUAGGGUGCAAGCGUUAAUCGGAAUUACUGGGCGUAAAGCGUGCGCAGGCGGUUAUGUAAGUCAGAUGUGAAAUCCCCGGGCUCAACCUGGGAAUGGCAUUUGAGACUGCAUGGCUAGAGUGUGUCAGAGGGGGGUAGAAUUCCACGUGUAGCAGUGAAAUGCGUAGAGAUGUGGAGGAAUACCGAUGGCGAAGGCAGCCCCCUGGGAUAACACUGACGCUCAUGCACGAAAGCGUGGGGAGCAAACAGGAUUAGAUACCCCGGUAGUCC